GCCUGGCGUAGUGAGAGGCUCGGCUUUCUCUGGUCUAGUCCGUCUUUUCGGCAUGGAGGAGAGACAAGUCUCAAGUCAAGGACACCAGGAGAAUAAUGCCAUAGCAGUCUAGUAAGGGAAGAAGGCAGUAGCAUUGGGAAGAUGAGAAAGCAGCAGAUCUAAAGGACAUUAAGGAGUCUGAGAGAAUCACCAAUCGCCUGGGUUUUCAAGAACGGUUCUUACUGAGAAGAUGUCUAGAGAAGCCUUUUUGUUCAACCUGUCGGUGUUUGCAUGAUUUACAGUAUAAUUAACCAGCCCCGUUGCACCAGCAGACCAGCUCCCUUCACUAUUCAUCAUGUUUCUAGCAACUUCAGAUCAUCAACUCUGCUGGGAGGAAAUACCUCCUCCUUAGAGAUGUAAAAAUAGUAUGUCCCUGACCAUUCCCACAGGCAGAAUG